rnacentral:rRNA from 1 species
GAUGAACGCUGGCGGCGUGCCUAAUACAUGCAAGUCGAGCGAACAGACGAGGAGCUUGCUCCUCGGACGUUAGCGGCGGACGGGUGAGUAACACGUGGAUAACCUACCUAUAAGACUGGGAUAACUUCGGGAAACCGGAGCUAAUACCGGAUAAGAUAUUGAACCGCAUGGUUCAAUAGUGAAAGACGGUUUUGCGGGCACGUAUAGAUGGAUCCGCGCCGCAUUAGCUAGUUGGUAAGGUAACGGCUUACCAAGGCGACGAUGCGUAGCCGACCUGAGGGGCUGGUGGCCCACCCUGGACCUGAGACACGGUCCAGACUCCUACGGUAGGCAGCAGUAGGGAAUCUUCCGCAAUGGUCGAAAGCCUUACGGAGCAACGCCGCGUGAGUGAUGACGGUCUUCGGAUCGUACAACUCUGUUAUUAGUGAAGAACAAAUGUGUAAGUAACUAUGCACGUCUUGACGGUACCUAAUCAGAAAGCCACGGCUAACUACGUG